AGUUAAUUAACUUAAGAAAAGUAUAUAUUUUGAAAAUAUAAUAUUAAGGUUAAAUUCCUUUAUUAACUU
rnacentral:tRNA from 1 species